rnacentral:misc_RNA from 1 species
AAGUCGUAGCAAGGUUUCCGUAGGUGAACCUGCGGAAGGAUCAUUAACGAGUUUUGAAACGGGUUGUAGCUGGCCUUCCGAGGCAUGUGCACGCCCUGCUCAUCCACUCUUACCCCUGUGCACUUACUGUAGGCUUCAGGCGCGCCGCGGCUUUCAACGCCGUGACGUUACUGGGUCUACGUUUUACUACCAACUACAAAGUAUCAGAAUGUGUAUUGCGAUGUAACGCAUCUAUAUACAA